GCCGUACCAUGCUGAAUAUACCGGUUCUCGUUAGAUCACCGAAGUUAAGCAUCAUUGGGCGCGGUCAGUACUUGGGUGGGUGACCACCUGGGAACACCGCGUGCCGUU
rnacentral:rRNA from 1 species